rnacentral:tmRNA from 1 species
GGGGAUGAUUUUGGCCUCGACAAGAGGUUGCAUCGAUCUGGGCAGGGUCGGGCAAGGUACGUGACCCGUUACAGCUUCGUACCAUCGAUACUUGCAAACACAUCGAACACAGCAGGCAAGCGAGUUCUCUCGCCUCUUGCUUUCAGUUACGCUUUAGCCUAACUGACGGCUCCGCGGUGACGUCUGGUCAGCCGCGCGAGUUGUAAUAUUUCCAGUCUAGGAGUCAGAUCGCUUCGCUCUGAUUCCGAAUCACAGAAGCUAGAGUAAAUCUGAUUUCGCUUACUUAAAUUCAGAUUUGCUCGAAACCCUUCGGGUUGCACCGAAGAAAGUAAGCUACGCCCUGUAGCCACCCAUUUCGAAAGACCAUCUUGCACGCGGGUUCGAUUCCCGCCAUCUCCACCA